rnacentral:rRNA from 1 species
CGCUAAAAGUAGUUGAUUUUUAGUAGUACCUGCCCAGUGCGUAUUAUCUUGUUAACGGCCGCCUUAGCGUGAGGGUGCUAAGGUAGCGAAAUUCCUUGCCUUUUAAUUGUAGGCCAGCAUGAAUGGUUUGACGAGGGCCUCACUGUCUCUUAGUUCUAUGUUGAAAUUGUAGUGUAGGUGAAGAUACCUUCAUAAAAAAGUAAGACAAAAAGACCCCGUGCAACUUUGAAAAUUAAGCUAGAUUAAAUGGCAAAAGAUUUUUAGGUGGGGCGCCAAAAGAGGAAACUAUAACCUCUGCUGUUUAAGCUAAUUCUUACUGGAGUUGACCUGACUUAAGUCGAUCAAAGGAGAAGUUACGCCGGGGAUAACAGGCCAAUUCUUUAGUAAAGCUCGUAUUAACUAAAGGGCUUGGCACCUCGAUGUUGAAUCAGGGAUUAUAGCUUCAAGGCGUAGAUGCUUUGAUUAGUAGGUCUGUUCGACCUUUGAAACCCU